rnacentral:rRNA from 1 species
UACGAGGGCCCCAAGCAUUAUCCGGAUUUAUUGGGCGUAAAGGGUCCGUAGGCGGCCGAGCGCAUCUCCUGUUAAAUCCUUAGGCUCAACCUGAGGACCGCGGGAGAGAUGGCUUGGCUAGAGGCCGGGAGAGGCAAGCGGAAUUGCUGGUGUAGGGGUUAAAUCCGUUAAUAUCAGCAGGAACACCAAAUGCGAAAGCAGCUUGCUAGAACGUGCCUGACGCUCAGGGACGAAAGCGUGGGGAGCGAAUGGG